GGUUGGAUCAUUAACAAUCCUAGACCCUCUGGUCUUUAACCCCUUGUGCACCUAUUAUUGUAUCUGGGUAUCUUGUGUUCGCAUAAGGUGCCCGACUGUAUAAACCUUACUAUUAGUCUGAAUUUUUAUUAUAUAAAAAAACAACUUCUGACAACGGAUCUCUUGGCUCUCGCAACGAUGAAGAACGCAGCGAAAUGCGAUACGUAGUGUGAAUUGCAGAAUUCCGUGAAUCAUCGAAUCUUUGAACGCAACUUGCACUCUGUUUCGGCAGAGUAUGCCUGUUUGAGAAUCUAUAGACUUCUUUACUCGUAAGGGUAAGAUUUGGGUUUUUCACUGUAAGUGAAUUGCCUUAAACCUAUAGCCUGGUACUAUAAUGUUUAUGGUAAGGUGCCAAAGUGUAUGAAGGGUUCGCCCACGUCCUUUGACUCUGAUCCUAGUUAUGGCGCUUGGUCCACUGGGAUGUAGUAGCAAUACCACAAACCACUAAGAUUAACCUCUUCGGGGUUGAUCUGAAACUUUGGUCUCAAAUCAGGUAGGAAGACCCGCUGAACUUAAGCAUAUCAAUAAGCGGAGGAAAAGAAAAUAACAAUGAUUCCCCUAGUAACGGCGAGUGAAGCGGGAACAGCUCAAAUUUGAAAUCUCAGGCGGUAACGUCUGCGAAUUGUAGUUUAGAGACGCGUUUUCGGCGGCGGCUUCAGUACAAGUUCUUUGGAACGAGACAUCAUAGAGGGUGAGAAUCCCGUCCAUGACUGUAUGCCGCUGCUAUGUGAUACGUGCUCAAAGAGUCGGUUUGUUUGGGAAUGCAGACCAAAUGGGUGGUAAAUACCAUCUAAAGCUAAAUAUUGGCGAGAGACCGAUAGCGAACAAGUACCGUGAGGGAAAGAUGAAAAGAACUUUGAAAAGAGAGUUAAAUAGUACGUGAAAUUGUCAAAAGGGAAACGCUUGAAACCAGUAUUGUAUGCUGGACUUAGCAGUUCUUUUGAGCUGUGUCUUCCAGUUUACGAGUCAGCAUCAGUUUGAUUCGGGUGAAAAAGCCUCAAGAACGUGGCCCUUUGGGUGUUAUAGCUUGAGGUCAUAGCCUGGGUUGGACUGAGGACUGCAGCGUCUGUUGGGGAACCAGUCGCCUUGGAAAGUACGCUUAGCGACUGCUUGCAGAUGUUAGGUUGUUACCAAAGGAGUACGGCUGGUGUACCACACCUACGCUUAGGAUGCUGACGAAAUGGUUUUAAUCGACCCGUCUUGAAACACGGACCAAGGAGUCUAACAUAUAUGCGAGUAUUUGGGUGGUAAACUCUUAUGCGUAAUGAAAGUGAAAAGGUGGGAUCCGUAAGGUGCACCAUCGACCGCGCUCGAUUAUUACUAUCGUGGCGUGAGUAUGAGCAUACAUGUUGGGACCCGAAAGAUGGUGAACUAUGCCUGAAUAGGGUGAAGCCAGAGGAAACUCUGGUGGAGGCUCGUAGCGGUUCUGACGUGCAAAUCGAUCGUCGAAUUUGGGUAUAGGGGCGAAAGACUAAUCGAACCAUCUAGUAGCUGGUUCCCUC
rnacentral:misc_RNA from 1 species